GCCCUUGUGGCGCAACUGGUAGCGCGUCUGACUCCAGAUCAGGCGCCGGUUGUAUAAAACUCUUAAUCACUUUUUUAAUCACUAUUUUGUAGUUAAAUAGUGAUUAACUCUUAAAUUGGCGCUUCUUAUUGGAUGACGUUCCCACUUAACUAUAGUUAACUUUAAUCACUUUUUUAUACAACCGGCCCCAGAAGGUUAAGUGUUCAAGUCACUUCAAGGUCA